ACUUUAUAUAUUUAGAGAAAUAUACUGGUAGUCUUAUAAGUGUUCCCUGGUAUGUGGUGAGCUGCUUUUCUCUUGCUGUUUUCAAAAUUCUCUCACUGCAUUUGAUUUCUGAGAAAUUGAUUAUAAAAUGUCUUGGUGAAAAUCUCUUUAUAUCCAUUUUAUUUGGGUUUUGGGAACUUCAUGGAUUUUGAUGUUUAUCUCCAUACUUGAAGAGUUUUCUGUAAUUAUUUAUUCAAGUAAGCUUUCCGUCUCUUUCUCUCUCUAAUCCUUUAUGUAAUUUCCAUAAUACAUAUAUGCAUUUCCUUGAUGUUGCCUUGUAGGUCCUGUAAGCUUUCUUCACUCUUUUUGUUUUCUUUUUAGUUUCUGUUCCUUUAACUGUGUCAUUUCAAAUGUUCUGUCUCUGGAUUCACUCAUUCUUUCCUCUGCCUGAUCAAGUCUGCUGUUCAAGCUCUCUGUGAAACUUUUUGGCUCAGCCCUCAUAUUCUUUAACUCCAGAAUUUCUGUUUUAUUAAUUUUUAUAGCUUCUAUCUUUGUUAAACUUCCGUUUUUGUUAAUAAAUAUUUUUCUUUUUGCUCUUUUUAGUUGUAUUUCUUAUACCUCACUGAGUUUCUUCUAGAUGACUAUUUUGAAUUCUUUAUCUGGUGGUUCAUAGAUCUUCAUUUCUUUAGGGUCUAUAUCUGUUGCAUUAUAUUGCUCCUUUGGUAGUGUCAUGUUUCCCUUAUUAUUACUGAUUCUUGUGGCUUUACAUUGGUGUUUGAGCUUUUGAAGAAGUGGAUACCUAUUCUAAUCUUUACAGACUGGCUUUGACGAGAAAGCUCUUCACCACACAGCCUGUCAUAGAUUCUUAGUGGGCCAUGUGGUGAGGUCUGCAGGCAGACCUGCUGCUGUAACAUGAAAACAGGGUGUCUUGGUUUGGUUUCUGGGUCAGCGGGUAGGCAGGACUGGCACCUAGAUCCAAAGGCACCAACUAGGUGCUUGGGAAUGUGGAGUCAGACCUGGAACCUGGCUCCCCCAGGGCAAGCCUGGAGAUUGGGUCCCCUA
rnacentral:lncRNA from 10 species